UACAGAGGGUGCGAGCGUUGUUCGGAAUUACUGGGCGUAAAGCGCGCGCAGGCGGCCCUUUAAGUCCACUGGUGGAAAGACCGGGGCUCAACCCCGACGUCAGCCAGGGAUACUGGAGGGCUGGAGACAGGUAGAGGCAAGCGGAAUUCCGGGUGUAGCGGUGGAAUGCGUAGAUAUCAGGAGGAACACCGGUGGCGAAGGCGGUUCUCUGGGCAUUACCUGACGCUGAGGAGCGAAAGUGUGGGGAGCGAACAGGG
rnacentral:rRNA from 1 species